UACGUAGGGGGCAAGCGUUGUCCGGAUUUAUUGGGCGUAAAGAGCGUGUAGGCGGUUCGGUAGGUCCGUUGUGAAAACUCGAGGCUCAACCUCGAGACGCCGAUGGAAACCAUCGAACUAGAGUCCGGAAGAGGAGAGUGGAAUUCCUGGUGUAGCGGUGAAAUGCGCAGAUAUCAAGGAAGAACACCCGUGGCUAAGGCGGCUCUCUAGUACGGUACUGGACGCUGAGACGCGAAAGCGUGGGGAGCGAACAGG
rnacentral:rRNA from 1 species